UUGUAAUUAUUUUCUCCACCAUUAACCUUAUCCAUCCAUUCUCUCCUCCUACACACCACCAGCAGCAGCCCCUCUCCUUCCCCACCACACUUCUUCCCCACCAACACAAAGGCAGCAGUCCCUAGCUCCUUCCCCUUGGAGCUGCCCUACUCCUUCUCCUCUCCCUGUUGAUGCUGAUGGCGCCCUUCUUCCUCUCCUCCCUUCUCCCAGCCAUGGCGCCCUCCCUUCCCAUCCUCACCUUGGAGAAAGCCCCCUCCUCUUGCAGCAAGCUAGGGCGCCCAUCUUCCCCUUCCUUGCUGCAGCAAGCAGCAACCCUGCUCUAGUGUCCAAUGGUUCAUCUUCCAUGAAGACUGGUCUUCCCCAUCUCUUCCUGCUUCCCUAGGGUUUGUGGGUGACCAAGGUGAGUUGGAUUUCGCCAUUCACUGAAUGAGUUUAGUGUUUAGGUAGAGUUUGGCCAUGGGAAUAAGUGGAUUAGUGAGGGAGAAAAGUUGUUGGAAUGUUGUUCCUCGGAUUUCAGAGUGACAGUUUCUGCAGAUUUUCUUAGGGAAGCAAUCAAGGCAACUUAGAAGAUGAAAUAGGUGUUUUCGUCAACUACAAAGUUGUAGAGGACCUUCAGAUCUACUAUCUCGUGAAAUAUCAUGAUUUUAUCCCAUCAGGUUCGAGAGUUAUGAAAUUUCAAAGUUUGCUGUCAGGUUUGAACUGCAUGCUGUACAGAUCUGAAGUUUGGUGUGUUUUCGACAAUGUUAGUUUCGAAAUUAGAUUUUGUUGAUAACUAGGAAAUUGUAGUGUUUUUCUUGAGCUUUCCAAAUUGUUAAAGAACAAUAGUUUUGGUUGGUUUGAACUCCAGUUAUGUAUUUCUGAAGUUUAUAUCAGUUUUCUGUCCUAGUUUGUGCAGAGGUGCUUGUUUGUGUUUGUCUUCAAUCUUGUCUACUUAGGAAUCAGGCCUAUGCUAUAAUUUGAAAUAUAUAAAGAAUUUCCUAAACUUUCUAGAAUGCUAAAGAACAUAAUUUUUCAUAGCCUUUAGCUCCCUAUAUGUUUUCUUUAGUGACUGUGCUACUGCUGUCCUGAAAUUUCAGAUUUUGCAAUUGCAUAAUGUUCGCUAUGUGCAUACCCUCACUGGAGUGUAUUUCUCAUAUGCAAAAAGGGAUGAAGUAUGGUUUCGUUGCCUUUUCUUGGUGAUAUUGUGGCCUGAGAAGUGCUAACAUAGCAAUGUGUUUACGGAACAUGGUGAUCUUUAGUCUUAUCUUGCUCUCACAUGUUUUCUUGCAUAGCAAUUUGUCUUUUAAUAGAGGUUGCUAUGAUUAUUCAAUUGGCAUAAAAAAGAGUUUAUUUAGGAGUGUCCACUAUGUUUUCUGGUGUUCUUUAGAUUUAUGCAAACUGUUGGUAACAAUGGUUUUGCUCAAAUGCAUGUUUGAAACAUAAGUUAAUAAUUAAUUGUUUGCAAUUGUUGUUUCUGGACAGUUUGUGGAACUGUUUGGAUUACAAUAUGUAAAUGUUGUCUUCUGGUAAUCUUGUUUAUAGCAAAGUUGUAGAUAAUUCACCUACCUAGCUUCUGUUAAAAUUUGGUGGUAAUUGGUUAUGUGGUUUGUAUGUUAUGGCUGUUUAAAGUUGGGUUUCAGAAAUGGUUGCUCUCUGUCCUGUUAGGACCUGAUUCAGUAAUCCUAAUAUUUCGACCAGCUUAAGUUGAGAAUCAUGCUUUGAUGUCUAAAUAUCAAAUGUAGAUAAUUUCUUCAGAUUUCCAGAAUGUCUUCUUGCAUGUCUUUUGGAGUUGUAUAACUCCAGUUAUGAUUUAAACAAGAAGCUGUUGUGGGCUGUCCUAAAAAAAUGAUAGAUUACUUUAUAGCUGUUUGCUUGGUAUAUUGCUAUCUGUGAUCUUUUAGUGACAGAAUGAGCUCUUGAUGUUAUAACAAAGUUGUUCAAAAUUUAGUAAUAUUUCUAGAGAGUCCAUAAUCAUAAUUUGUGGACAUGUGAAAAUGAUGUCAUAUCUGUUUAAUGUGGCAUGGUAUGUCCUGUCUAUGCUUUGAUCAGAUGUCUUCAUGGGGUUAAUUGAUCUUGUUAACUAUGAAAUCAUCUUUAUAUGAUGAUAAGAAAGCUGUAGGUAACUUUAUAAGCUUUCUGUGAAGUUAAAAAUCAUGUUUGUUGGAGGGCUACAACUCCAGUUAUGCUUGUUUGAAGUUCCUAUCAGUUUUCCUGCCUAUAAUUGUACCCUACUGUUUGGGGCAACAUGCGCAGUCCUGAUUGUGCAAUUAAUUCCAUAGUAUAAAUUAUGUUUGCUGUGAAACUUGUCUAUACAAAAGUUGUAGAUAACUCUUUCAUCUCGCUUGUGUUAGAGUUUCAUAUCAUUUGGAUAAAUGGUUUGUGAGUUAUAAGGGUAUAAAGUUUAUCUGUCAAAAUGCUUGUUCUCUGGAAUUCCUGGACCAGAUUCUGUAAAUAUGUAUGUUUGACUUAGGUAACUUUCUAAUCAUGCUAAGAUGAUUAAAUAUGAAUUGUAUAUAAUUUUAUAAGCUUUCCAUAAUGUCUUGUUGCAUGGAUUUUGGGUCUGUAGAACUCUGGUUAUGAUUUAUUUACUCAACUGUUGCAUGUAUGUCCAGAAUUGCUAAAAAUGCAUGAAUGCUUGAUGAACUUACAUUGUGUGUGGUUUUAAGUGACUCAUGUCUUGGUGGUGUUAAUUAGUGUUAUGUGAUCCUAUGAAACAUGUGUUCAUGCACUUGCAUCUUGCAUGUCAUCUAGGUACGCUAGAUGAACCACGUGAAGGACGUGAUGGUGGAUCAUCCCGAAGAUGGAAUGAUUAAGCAAGUGUUAUGAUCUUAGAUGUCACCAAGACGGAGCAAGCUAACUAAUCUGACUCGGUGUCACAUUCCAGGCAAGCCCCGGAGCAUUAUAAGCCUCCUACUUUCUGAAAGUGAAUGAGUAUAUAUAUGUUAUAUAUGUAUUGUUGCAUUAAGUAUAGGAGUUGGAUGAAACCCUUGCUGCAUAUAUACACCCUUCCUUGUCCAGUAUAUAUAUAACCUGAAUCCUAAUUAGUCAGGAUCACGUCUAUGCUUAGCCAUGCUUAGCUCGGUAGAAGCCAGGUGAUUUCCUGUCACCUGCAGGAUAUAGGUGGAUUCCAGAUCACGGUUGGCUAUAUUUGCUAUCGUGGAAAAGAACCAUGUAUUAAUAAUAUGAAAGGAGACCGGGCGGGAUGAUGAUAGUGAAGCAACAAGACAUGGAGGUCUUAGGUGUGGAUCUAUCCCUGUCUGUGUCGAUUAAGGACCGAUCGUUGUACGUCCUCUUGUCAUGUUGAACGCAUGCCUAACACUUAGUUGGCCGGAUAACUCGUUCCGACCGCGAAGCCAAGUAGUAUGACUCAGGCCGGAAGACCGGCAAGUAUAAAGUGCGCACUACCGGAGGAAGUGCGGUGUGCGGGGACCAUUGGUGUAAGUCCAAAGGCAGGUGAGUUAAAAUUCCUGACCUCCCUGGCAGAGUGGUAGCCCUGGGAGUGCGGCGCUGAUCGGAACCGCGAUUCCUGAGUCGUACCAAAGGUGACCCGUUGGCUCUCCGACGGGGGAUGCUUGGGUGAGUGCUAGGAAUACCCCUCCAGCUGGAUAGGAAUCGAUUCGAAUCGCCGUCUCUCCCGGAUAGUGAGAACUUGACAGAGCAGCGGCAAACGUAGCAUUCACUAAAUAACUUAAUGGUUCUAUGAUGAUGAUGAUGAUCACGGCCUUGAUAAACCUGAUAUGGUUAUUAUUGAUUGAUAUUAAUCAAGUGAUUGCUUAGUACAGGUGCUAAUCUUGUUAAUAGGUUAAUGAGAAUUAAAUGGAUGCUAAAUAUGAAAGGUUUAACUAUUUAUACUUAAGCUUUUUAUGCAAAAUGUUGUCCAACAAGCUCCACUUAUAUAUCAGCCUUGCAUACCCCUUGGUGUCAUUUAUUUCUGGUUUAUGACGGGUAAGUCUAGCUGAGUACAUUCUCGUACUCAGGGUUUAUUCCCACUUGUUGCAGGUUGUGAUGUAUCAUAGCUACUGCAAGAUUUGGUUGACUCCUGCUAUAGGGAAGGAGUAAGAUCAUGGGCAUGAUCCUUCCUACUUACCUCAUCUAUGAUGCUUUUGUUGGAAUGGACCAUGGUACUGGCAUGUAUUUGAAAUAAAAGUGAUAUUGGUUUCAAAUUACUUUGCUUCCGCUAUUUGUAAACCUGAGUUGUAAUAACCUUAUUGAACUCCGAUGUAUUUGAACUACUUGCGAAAUGU
rnacentral:lncRNA from 1 species